rnacentral:rRNA from 1 species
UACGGAGGGUGCAAGCGAUGCUCGGAAUCACUGGGCGUAAAGUGCGUGUAGGCGGUUUCGUAUGUCUGACGUGAAAGCCCCGGGCUCACCCCGGGAAGUGCGUUGGAAACUGCGAGACUAGAGUCCCGGAGAGGAAGGUGGGAUUCCAGGUGUAGCGGUGAAAUGCGUAGAUAUCUGGAAGAACACCGGUGGCGAAGGCGGCCUUCUGGACGGUGACUGACGCUGAGACGCGAAAGCGUGGGGAGCAAACAGG